rnacentral:misc_RNA from 1 species
CCGCCAUAGUCGAUGGGAUUCGAAGCUAUGUUAGCUCCGCUUAGGAUUCUCGUCUACAAUUUGAUUUUGAGGGGAAUUCAAAGGGAACCAAAAGAUAAAGAGAGAGGGACGAGGGAGUUUAAGUUUUAGAAGGCCCAAGAAAUGGUGGACUUGGGAUACGAGGCAGAGGGAAACCCUAAUUUGGAAAGAGAACACAAAAUUGGGGAAAUGGAGGGCAAUCUAGGAUCGUGGAAGCUUCUAGUCUCCGAAGCAAAAUGAAGGGACCCUACCUCCAG